CCCUUAGAUGUUCUGGGCUGCACGCGCGCUACACUGAUACUUUCAGCGAGUCCACCCCCUUGCCUGGGAAGGUGGGGUAACCUCUGGAAAGUGCAUCGUGAUGGGGAUCGAUUAUUGUAAUUAUUAAUCUUCAACGAGGAAUUCCUAGUAAGCAUGUGUCAUCAGCCCGUGCUGAUUACGUCCCUGCCCUUUGUACACACCGCCCGUCGCUCCUACCGAUUGAGUGGUCCGGUGAAGCCUCGGGAUUGUGGUUCUUGCCGCUUUAUUGUGGCGUGACCGCGAGAACUUGUCUAAACCUUAUCAUCUAGAGGAAGGUGAAGUCGUAACA
rnacentral:rRNA from 1 species